UAACGUAGGGUGCAAGCGUUGUCCGGAAUUAUUGGGCGUAAAGAGCUCGUAGGCGGUCUGUCGCGUCGGCUGUGAAAACUCGGGGCUCAACCCCGAGCCUGCAGUCGAUACGGGCAGACUAGAGUGCGUGUAGGGGAGACUGGAAUUCCUGGUGUAGCGGUGAAAUGCGCAGAUAUCAGGAGGAACACCGGUGGCGAAGGCGGGUCUCUGGGCAGUAACUGACGCUGAGGAGCGAAAGCGUGGGGAGCGAACAGG
rnacentral:rRNA from 1 species